rnacentral:rRNA from 1 species
UACGUAGGGUGCGAGCGUUAAUCGGAAUUACUGGGCGUAAAGCGUGCGCAGGCGGCGCGUUUAAGACAGGUGUGAAAGCCCCGAGCUUAACUUGGGAAUUGCGCUUGUGACUGGCGUGCUGGAGUGUGGCGGAGGGAGGUGGAAUUCCACGUGUAGCAGUGAAAUGCGUAGAGAUGUGGAGGAACACCGAUGGCGAAGGCAGCCUCCUGGGCCAGCACUGACGCUCAUGCACGAAAGCGUGGGGAGCAAACAGG